UAAUACAGAGGUCCCAAGCGUUGUUCGGAUUCACUGGGCGUAAAGGGUGCGUAGGUGGUGGGGUAAGUCCGAUGUGAAAGCUCCGAGCUCAACUCGGAAAUUGCAUUAGAAACUACCUCGCUGGAGGGUUGGAGGGGGGACUGGAAUUCUCGGUGUAGCAGUGAAAUGCGUAGAUAUCGAGAGGAACACCAGUGGCGAAGGCGAGUCCCUGGACAACUCCUGACACUGAGGCACGAAAGCUAGGGGAGCAAACAGGAUUAGAUACCCUGGUAGUCCUAGCCGUAAACGGUGCACGUUUGCUGUAAGAGGAUUCGACCCCUCUUGUGGCGUAGCCAACGCGUUAAACGUGCCGCCUGGGAAGUACGGUCGCAAGAUUA
rnacentral:rRNA from 1 species